AUACGGAGGACGCGAGCGUUAUCCGGAUUCAUUGGGUUUAAAGGGUGCGCAGGCGGCCGUGCAAGUCAGCGGUGAAAGCCCGGGGCCCAACCCCGGAAGUGCCGUUGAUACUGCAUGGCUUGAAUGCGGUCGAGGCGGGCGGAACGUGGGGUGUAGCGGUGGAAAGCGUAGAUAUGCCACAGAACGCCGAUAGCGGAGGCAGCUCGCCAGGCCUGCAUGGACGCUCGGGCACGAAAGCGUGGGGAUCGAACAGGAUUAGAUACCCUGGUAGUCCACGCCGUAAACGAUGGGCGCUCGUCGUCGGCGGCAGACAGUCGGCGGCCAAGCGAAAGCGAUAAGCGCCCCACCUGGGGAGUACGGUCGCAAGGCUGAAACUCAAAUGAAUUGACGGGG
rnacentral:rRNA from 1 species